CCUACGGGUGGCUGCAGUAAGGAAUAUUGGUCAAUGGACGAAAGUCUGAACCAGCCAUCCCGCGUGCAGGAUGAAAGCCCUAUGGGUUGUAAACUGCUUUUAGCAGAGAAGAAAAGCUUUCAUUAAUGAGAGUCUGACGGUAUCUGCAGAAUGAGCACCGGCUAACUCCGUGCCAGCCGCCGCGGUAAUACGGAGGGUGCGGGCGUUAUCCGGAAUUACGGGUUUUAAGGGGUGCGUAGAAGGAAGUGUAGAAAUCUUGUCGCUUAACGAUAAAAUGGCCAAUGAUACUGGUACUCUUGAAUUGGGUUGAGGUUAGCGGAAUGUGACAUGUAGCGGUGAAAUGCAUAGAUAUGUCAUGGAACACCAAUUGCGAAGGCAGCUAACUGGGCCUUGAUUGACGCUGAGGCACGAAAGCGUGGGUAGCGAACAGGAUUAGAUACCCUAGUAGUC
rnacentral:rRNA from 1 species